ACGCAAACGACAGCGUCUCCAUUUUGUUGUAGUGUUCUGAAAAUUAUUGUUCUAUUAAUUGGCUCUAAAUUUAUAUAUACUUAAAAUUAUCAAGAGUAAAUUCAACAAAAUAUAUAUUUUCAAUGACUGUUUCGAUAGAUAUAUUCAAAAUGUCUCGAUACCGGGAAUGGGAUCUUACCUGCAAAGUUUAUGUCGGUAACCUGGGUAGCAGUGCUAGCAAACAUGAGAUUGAAAAUGCAUUCAGUCAAUAUGGGCCUUUAAGAAAUGUUUGGGUAGCUCGAAAUCCACCUGGGUUCGCUUUUGUUGAAUUUGAAGAUCCGCGUGAUGCUGAAGAUGCUGUUCGUGGACUUCAUGGAAAACGAUGCUGUGGUUCAAGAAUAAGAGUAGAAAUGUCUUCUGGAAGAAGUCGUCGAGCAGGUGGUGGUCGUCGACCUGGUCCCAGAUAUUCAAGAUUCUACAAGAGUCAACUCCUAGCUCUGCUCGUCUCCCCGUCACUACUACCACUACUUCUACUACUACUACUACUUCUACUAUUACUACUACUACAGCCACCGUGAACAAUAAAAAUUUUGCAAUCAAAACUGAAAAUAUGUAGCCUGCCUGUCCACUACUAAUUUCCCGCAACUAGUCACCGCGAGGAGCAAAGAUUGCCCGUCAUUGACAGUCCGUUGCUGUCCGUCGGUCCGUCAUUAUACCCUUUAAAAAAGAAUUCUUCGGGGUCCACCUCUACUCUUCUACUAAGAGACUAGGAACAUCGUAAUCAUCAAACAGCCAACGCGAUAUGAAUUCUUCUAUCAAAAUAUCAUCGCGUCCGUCCCAACUACUUCUACCACUGCUACUUCGUCAACUACGACGUUUUACUUUGAUGAACAAUGUGACCGUCACUUCUCUUCGAUCGAGCAAUGCAAAAUAAUCACAUACAUACCAUCCUACCACCCAACCAACUACCACCAACCAUCACCACCACCACUACCACCACCACCACCACAUGUUCACAAUCGUCUGGUCAAGGUCACGCAGUCCACGACGAAGAUCUUUAACUCGAAGCCGAAGCCGAGAUCGUCGUUCCCGAUCUGACUCACGUGAAAGACGCUAAGGACUCAGUAUGACCGUUGAGAAAUUAAUUUUACCUACGAAAUAAAACAGUGCUGCAAAGAACACUAAAUAUUAAUAAUAAUAAAAACAAUAAUGAUAAAGCCCUCCUUUAUUUGUAUAUAAAUUGUUGCAUCACACAACACACAGAAUGAAUUAAGUAAUUUGAUCAAGAUCAGCUUGAACACUUAAUACACGCUAUAAACUUUCAUUGUCAAAUGUGUCAUGAAUGAAUUUGUAUAAGCUAAUGCCUGUAAUCAAGAGCAGUACGAAAAUUUCAUUUUUAAA